GUAGCUUUAAGGAUGGCUAUUCUAAUUCUUUUGUCAUCCACAAACAUUUUGUCUUGCUUCGGUCCUUUUUGAAAGGCUGUAUAUAAUCAGAUGUAAGACUCUGAGUGCAGGUCUCAGAUAACUUUCAAAAUUAUGAUAUUCAAAUAGAGGGGGGGAAAAAGCAAACUUCUAGGACUUUCACAGAAAACUACUUUGUUAAACACUGCUAAACUUCUUGUUUUCAAAGUCAAGGGACCGUAUUUCUUUAGAGCUAUUGGCAACUUUUAACAAGUGAGUAAAAUAAUACGCUCCUGUUAACAAAAUUUGCAGCACAUUUGUUUCUCUCUACCUGAUUUCUCUAGAAUUUAGGAACUAUUUCUGAGUAUUCUCAAUUUGUGGUAAUAUAGUUAAUUGCAUAAGUACAGUAAGAAUGUGUUUUCUUUUGUAACAGGAUACAAUUUGAGAAAUUGAUCAUUUUACCAAGGCUUUGACUGGAAUGGCAUGAUUCCUUUAAAGAAUCAAAGAUGUAUCCCAAAACCUAAAAUGCAAUGUAAAAAAAAAAGCCUAUUGGGGAGUCGGGUCUCAUCCCUUGUCCACACAGAGUCCCUGGAAGAGGUUUCUGACCUGUGAAAAGAAAUUUGGAAUGGAUUAUGUGUCACAGUUAUUAGACCAGGACCAAGGAAACAUGUUGCUUUCCCAUGGGAUGUGGCAAACUACCCAGGGCCACUAAAUGGGCUACUUAGGAAAUCCCAAACCCCAAAAAAUAAUCCCUGGAAGAUAUCUGGUCUGUUGAUUCACAUCCUGGACUCACCUCAACAUUGUUUUUUGUUCUUUUGCUUAGCCAAGGUGAGAGAUGAGGUAAUGAUAUCUGAAUUUAUCACAUAAUUUUCCUUUCAAUCUCACAUAAAUUUGUGGAGGAUCCAAGUAAGACUAUGUAUUUAUACGAGGCUGCUCUCCUCACUGGACAUGAAUGUGGCUACCAUUAUUACUAUGUUCUUAAAUAAAAUAAAGACAUUCUUCUUAGGUUGUUUGAGGCAGUAAUUUCCAACUUUAUUGCUUUAUUUGGUUCAAAAUAAACAUUCUUCUCCAUUUGCCAGCACUGAUAAAAGAUGCAAAAUAAAAGCAAAAUUGGUCUAGGACAUAUCAGGGGAGAUAGCCAGAAUCCAUGACAUCUGUUGUUUUCUUCUUGACUGAUAAUCAUGGUGUUUUCCUGUAACCUAAAAGGCUAAGAUGAUUGAAAAGAAUCUCAAAAUAGGUUUAAAAGGUUCGCCAGACUCAGUAGUAUAUUUCUGAAGGUCAAGACAAGCCAUAGGAGAAAAAUCCUUUGGUUAUCAGAUGCCCAAGUGGUAUCACCAACAAGCAAGUCACCACCAGCAAUACUGGUAGUAGGGUAACAUUUUGUAAUUCUUAGUAAAGCCUCAUUAAUCAGACUUUACUAAUAGGAAAUAUGUGACUAUCCCAACAGAAAUUGAGUUAAACUUUACCUUUGUACUCUGAAUGAGAAUUGAAACUGUAAGCAUAAAAUAUUAAUCGAUUUAAAAUGAAUAUAAACUGUUUGAUUACUUUAUAAUAGUAUUGACAAAUUCAUAGAGAUAGAGAGCAGAGGGGUUGAAUAGUGUUAGACAGAGAGUAGAAUGGAACUUAGUGGGUCAAUAUGAGAUGAUGAAAAAGUUCUGGAGAUGGAUAGUGAUGAUGGUUGACAAUGUGAAUGUACUUAAUGUUACUGAACUGUCUACCAAAAAAAUGGUUCAAAUGGUAAAAGAUAAAAAAUAGUACUAAAGGCAAACAAUUACUUCAAAUCUUAGUUCAACUAUUAUGUUCUUCCAAGUAGAACUUACAUACUCUUAAAAAUAUCCUCUCAUUUUGAAACAUUUCACAAUUCAAUUCUACCUACCACAAACAUUUAUUUCCAUAUUCUGGAAAGGUUAGUAUACACAGUGGUCUGCUAGCCUGACUCAGUCAUUAGACUAUUUGAAUUAAAUCCUCACUUCACCAGUUUCUAGCUGCGAGAGUUAGACAAGUUUCUCAAUUUUCUCUUCUAUAAAGUGCUGGUAAUGGUAAUUACCUUAUACAAUCUUUAUAAGAUUUGAACGAAUUCAUACAUGUAAAGCACUUUGAAUAGUUCCUGGCAUAUAGCAAAUAUUCAACAAAUGUCAGCUAAUGCAUUUUGUAAUAGUACAACAAAAAUGUGAAGCUUUUUACUAUGGAAAACGUAUACAUAUGGAUGAAGUAGGAAUAGCUAUUUUUUAGAUAAUCUACAAGUGGCGAUAAAAGCAAAUAAAAUAUGCCAAAGAAUUUGCAAAACAUUUGAAUAAAACUAUUCCAGUUGUUUACCUUUAAAGGUUUGUAGACAAUUUAUCUUUCUAUUGUACAAUUAUUCUUCAACUGAAGAAUAAUGCUUAUGUAUGUAUGUCCUCUAUGCAGUAGACAAUGCAGGAUAACAGCCUUUGCCACAUUUCAUUUGCAGACUAUUAAUGGGCAACAACUUUAAUUGUUAUUUAUUUAGGUUUAAAAUUUAAUGAAGAUAUGAAUAAUUUUAAAUUUUUGCCAUAUUACAAAAAUGGAAUAUUAAACUUGCAAUGUAUCUAGCCAUAUCAUUUUCUAGAAGUAUAUCAAAUGGAGUCUAUCACAGGAAAUAUUUAUUUAAAAUGUGAAUAAGCAUGAAUAACGAAUAAUAGGAGUAAUCAUUACCUAUUAAAAGCACGCUUACACAAAGAUGGAAAUACUGUGUCAGAGUCACUAUUUUCCUUUUCAUAAAUCUUACUGAGAGGACCAGGAUUCUAUGAGCUGACACUAACUGUUUACUGCCUAUACCAAAAUUUUCUCCAACUGUUGAUGAACCAAUCACAAAGGUACACAGCAGGGAUGGGACCAUUUCUUCUACUAAUCUUUUAGACAAUUUCUCCUACAUGUCUUGGCAGAAAGCCUGUAACAGUUUGAACAGAAUUGUGCACAAUAUGUGCAGCACAGCCAAAACUCAUUAAGUGCCUUUGUCUCAUGCAUCUUGUGAAACACAAUAUUGCACCCCUGAUGAGCAAUGCCUCCAAAUGUUAUGUUAACAUUAAGAUCACCAGAAACCAUUAAUUUACUAGUCAAAUUACAUCUCUCAGCAGCAUUUAGACAAUGUUCUAGGGAAUAAUCUGCCUAUCACUAAGUAUAAAUAAAAUUUUAAUGAGUGUUUUCCAGGUACUUCAAACACAGGUUAAGACAGUGCUCUAGAAAAUACUUCAUGACUAAUCUGUUAUAAGACUUUAAUUUAAACCUAAUAUAUUCUAUACAUUUUUUCCAGGUACAAAUAGUUCUCUGGCUUUAUUAAAAGGGCACUUUCUUUCAGAGAAUUCAGGUAAGUCUUCAAUUUUUAGUUCUAGCUUCUUUUCAUUGAUGUCUAUUUCCAGGUCCACAUUUUACUUUGCCUCCACUGCUGCAUUGCAUUCCACAUCUGUAUUUUCCCAUGUUAUAGGUUACUCCUAGAAUGCCUUUUCUUAUCUCAGAUAAAGCUAACUACCAGUUAUUUCCCUCUCUCUUUCUAACUGCUCUCAAAAAUACACUCCAUCAAUGAAUUAUCUGUAACUAGCUAAAAGGCAGGGUGACCUCUUCUAACUCCUCUUGUUAAAUAUUCUCAAGUCCUAGGUACCACAAAUGCAAUUAUCACUAUACUUUUCCACAUAAAAUGUAUUCAUUAUUUAAACUUACAUUUUAAAAUUAUGCUUUCUUUUUCUGUUCCAGAUUAUAAACCAAAGUUCUAAGGCUCUUUGCCUGACUUGGCAUAGACUCUAGAUCAUCAUCAUAUACCAAGAGGCAUUUAACAAGUACCAUGCAAACUGUUAUCCACAAAAUGCGGUAAACAUAAUGGUCAAAUGGUUAAAUACUAAUGAGUUAUAUUCCUCAGCAUUACUGAUUUCUUCAACUAAAUUUUCUAACAUCCUUAUUGUCUAUCUUUACCUGGACUUAUCUUUGAUUGAUAAGUGAGCAAUCCUUUAUCUUCCACUGACAAAAUCAAAUAAACUACAUGACAACAUGAGCAAUAAGGCAAAAAUGGAUCUUUAACGCUGACAAAAAAAAUCAACAAAAAAUAGAUCAAGUUAGCCAUUGACUGUGGACAAGGUCAUCACACAUAGGUCAAAAUUCAACUGCAUUUGAUCUAACAAUCAAGAGGUCACCGUUUUUCCUUUGCCAUUUGCUAAAUUCUAUCUUCAUCCCAUCUACUUCAAUUUUUUAAAGCAUCUUAAGGUAAUGAUGAUAACACAGCAUUUAUUGAUUUGGAAAGGAAUUCCAAUUUAGAAAAUAGUUAUAAAUGGCAAAACUUUACUGGUUUUGUUUUCAAAAGAUAAUGGGCUAAGAUAGAAAACCACAUUUUACAAAUGUAAAAUCCUCUGAUUUUGAGUAAUGCAAAAUGGAAUACUGUUCCCUAAUUCACUAAUAAACACUAUUAAAGGAGAAAUAAAAUGAUUUGUACAAGCAGCUGAGCUCAUCAUUCAAUAAAAUCCAUAAGAAUGAUAAUUCAGGUCCUUCGAUAG
ensembl:lncRNA